GUGUGAUGGUUCACAUGGCAUCAAGAAGGAAGAUCGCCGAGUACUAAUGACAGUGGCAAAGAAUCUGGUAUAUGCUGAUUCAGAUGAAACAUUUCAAGAUGAAUGGAAUUGCUUUUGUCAGACCCCAGAAGCCCAAAAGUAUAACCAGUACAUGAGAUAUAGGCUACCGUACAAGAGGGAAAAAAUACAUACGUUGGUAUCUGGCAAAGCUGAUAGAAAGGAAGGAAGAAUGGAGUACUGUGUACAGGGCUGGAUUUUUGCUACGUGGACACCACACAAAUAAUUUUGCAGAAUCUACCAUGUGCAUCAUUAAAGAUAUCAUUCUCAACAGGUUAGUGUGCCAUUUGUCAUUAUAUAUA